rnacentral:miRNA from 1 species
GUGUGUGUGUGUGUGUGUGUGUGUGUGUGCGCGCGCGUGCGCGUGCACACACACACACACACACACAC